UGGACUGGAAAGUGAGAAGUCUCUAGGAUACCUAGAAUAAGGUCUUACUUGACAGUCGUCAGAAAAACACACCCUAACCUCUUCAAUUUUCUGUUACAGCCCAUUGGAAAAUGCUGGUGUUGUCAUUGUUUUUUCUGGUGUCUUCAAGGUUAACUCCGCUUUGGAAACAACUGAAGCCCUGUAUUGGGAGAGUCCUAAUCUGCCCAUCCACACCACUAGUGGUUGUAUAGUGGGAACAGGUGGGCUUGGGAAGUAGUGGAGAUUUGAACAGGGCUCAGGCCGUUUGGGAUCUUGUGUUGUAGGACUAGGGUUCAGGGAGGCAUGACACAGGCUGCUUGCACUGAUACAUGGUUUGUUCAACAAUGGUUCUGGGCCCUGGGGUCCCAGCAGAGCUCCCUGAUUUCAGCCUCCUGAGGGCUCAUUCAGACUUCUUAUUCAGAUCUGACUCUGUCACCCCAGGACAUGUUUCUUAGACAUUUCCCAGAGCUCUCUGUAUCCCAGGGUGGGAAAUUCUCAGUUGCCUCCAUCCUUACACAAUGAACUGCUGCCUCACCCAGGAUGAAUGGGGCUCUGUCCCUGGUGCUGAACGCGUGCCUCUGGUCGUGUGCUGGGAGAUAGAUGAGUUCUCAGGCAAAGGCAGAAAACAUAUGAACAUCAGAAGACAGACAUGGAGUGAGGUGCCUCCCACCAUCCAAGAGUUUCCAUUAUUGGUUUCCUUUUAAGCUAUUCACUGGGUGACAAAUUUACUUGUCAUCCUAUAUCACCAAAGUCAUUGUACAAAACAUCUAUCACAGGAUUUUUCACACAGGCCAGGAAUGGACACUCAGACCAUGUGUAGACUCUUUGCUGAGUCAAAUGUCAUCCUCUGCCUCCUGCUUUAUUCUUAAGCUGGGAAGUUUCUCUUCAUUCAUUCACUUCUUUAUAGGUUCUCCCUUGAGGUCUUGUGAAUCCUUAAUUUUUCAUGACUAAAUACUUCCUUUUCUUUCAUAACACAUAGUAUCUGAUUUUCUGGGAAACUUUCUAUUUGGCAAAUAUGGGACUAGGGAUGUCAAUGUGAGUUCUCCAUGGAAAGACUGAUCUCACUGAUUUAGAAUUUGUGGUGGUUCUUGUGAUAAGAUACCUGAAGAAAAUAUUGCUCUUACGUGACAUUAAAGAAGAAAAAUGUGACACUUAAGCUUUUGGCUCAGAGGAGGUCAAGGUGCACCUUUCUUCGGUCAUCCCAAAUCUGGGUUCAUCCAACACCAGCCGCCACCACCAUGACCCCAGUGAGAUCAAAGUUCUAUACCUCAGGUGCUGGGGGUGAAAUCGGUGCCACUUCUGUUCUGGCCCCCAAGAUUAGCCCCUUGGUCUGUCUCCAAAAAUGGUUGGUGAUGACAUUGACAAGGCAACGGGUGACUGGAAGGGCCUGAGGAUUAUGGUAAAACUGAACAUUCAAAACAGGCCCAGAUUGAGGUGCUGCCUUCUGCUUCUGCCCUAAUCAUCAAAGCCCCCCAAGGAACCACCAAGAGACAGAAAGAAACAGAAAAACAUUAAACACAGUAGGAAUAUCACUUUUGAUGAGAUCAUCGACAUUGCUCGACAGACCCAGCACCGAUCUUUAGCCAGAGAACUCUCUGGAACCAUUAAAGAGAUCGGGGGAAUGCCCAGUCUGUGGACUGCGAUGUUGACGGCCGCCACCCUUAUGACAUCAUAGAUGACACCAACAGUGGUGCUGUGGAAUGCCCAGCUAGUUAAGAAGCACAAAGGAAAAUAUUUCAGUAAAGGAUCAUUUGACAACGAAAAAAAAAAAAUCUUUGGCUUCAUCUUCAGGGAAAGGCAAAAGACGCUACCAGCCACUUCCCCAACACUACCUCAUCACAUCGCUAUUGUGAAACCUGAAGAAGUGGUCUUUGAGGGAUUUUUCAGAUUUAGCACUUCAGCAGACCCAGGACUGUCGCCUGGUCCUGAGACUCCCUGAGUAUUGCUCCUGCCUGCUGUGCUUGUUCCACCCACUCGGCUUGACUGCACUCAGACCACACUACCACGCCAGAUCCCACACCUGCCACAGGCAAGCCAGGCAUGGUGUGUGAGCAAGCAAGAGUAGGGUCUGGCCACUGUGCACAGCCAAGCACUCUGGCUGCUUCGGUGGAGUGGGCAGCUCCAGGAGCUGGCAUAAAUGCCAUCUCCAUGCAAGGCUGUGGCUGGACCAGAUGUACCACAUACAGCUUCUGCUACAGGCACCUGCAUCUGGACAAGGGGAACAUGGCAGUGCCUGGAAGCUUGGAGACACCAAGAACCGCAGAGCCCCAAAGAGGGUGUCACAGCCCUGACUUGACAAACCCCUCGGUCUCUGGUCCUCAAAAGACUGCAGCUUUUCUCUGCUUCUUGUUACUUGUAAUGUGCAGAGUGGGAGGUCAUGUUUCAGCCCUGUUUGUGUUACAGUUCUUUCAGGGGCGCCAUGGCACCUAAGUUCUUGUUGUAGGUAGCAGGGACCAGCCUGCAUGUGUGAAGUGUGCAGGUGGAACACAGAGCACUCCACCCACCCAGGCGGGUAUCAGAGGAUGGGCCCUCAGGCACUGGUGAGGCCCAACCCUCUCCCUCAGUGACAUCUGCAUUCCUAAUAUUCUUUUUGAACAUCUGAAAGUCCACCAAAUUCCUGCCUGUCAUCUGGGAGAGACUCCGUGAGGCCACGUGGAAAUCACACCCAGGUGUCACCCGGAUAAUGAUUCCAUCUCUUUUGCACUUAUUCCAGAGGCAAAGCCCAUGACAGGAGAAAACUCCAGUGCUCUCCUGUGUGCUGCUUUCCAGAAGCUCAGUCCCCCAGCAGCACUUGUCUUUCCUGAGGCCAGCCUGGGGCAUCUGGGAUCAGGGGCUGCUUGCCUUUCUGGAGGGGCUCAGCUCAGGACUAAGGGGGAUUCUGGGCUGGAAUAGGGGUGUCUGAGUCCCGUCCACAUGGUGUCUAUGACCUGCAGGGGGCGCUUAUGCCAGGUCUUUCUUACAUAGAGAAAACUAGGGUGACAAAAUGUAACCAAUGGGAGUUGGAGUUUACUCUUAUCUCCCAGGAAUCCAUGAGAGUCCUGUGACCCUGGAAGGAGAUGGGGUCCCCAAUAACUAAGGACAUGGCAGUGAGUGAUGCAGCCCAGCUUCCUGUCCUCAAAGAGUUUCAGGCCCACUGUCCCUAGACAGUGACAACCCAGAGUGGGCAGCUCUCGGAUGGGGGAGGCACAGGCUGCUUCUUUGGGAAUUUAGUGGACCCUGCUGCUUGCUGGGAAAAUCCCCCACCUUGGAACUGUAAUGGAUUUCUGGAGAAAUGACACACAGUUGCUCAUGGAUAUAAAAUAAAUUUUAUAACCAAAAUAGGACCCAGUGUCAGCACUCCCCAGGAAGAAGGAUUCAGGCUUGGUCCAGUGUGAAGCAAGUGUGCACUUACCCAGGUGGCUUGCCUAUUUUUGUGCACAGGCCCAUGGUGAGGGUUGCUGCAUGUGAGUUGGGUUUUAAGUGGUUUGAAUGUCCUGCUGCUGCUGAGAGAGGGAGCACAUGCUGUGCCCAGAUGUGCAGUGGAUGUGACUAAGGAUUGAAAAGCUGUCAAUCUCCAAAAUUGAAUUUUCUUGCCAUACAGGGAGAUGAAAAGGCUACUAGAAAAGAGCUUAUCUGACCCUUUGAGAAAAUGAAAAGAUCCCAACCCAGGUAUGUGUGACUGCAAAGUCUCAGGAUUGCUGAGACAGGAGCUCUUGCAUCCACAGAGCCCUGGGCUGGUCCAGCUGCCCUCCCUCCCACCCAGCCUCUGACUCCCCGGCUCUGUCAUCAUCUCCCUCUGCUGAUUUUUCUUCCCAGCCUGACUUAACUGCCCUGAGAGACCAGGACCAAGGCCAAGGACGGCCGGCUGGGCUCCUCCGUGCCCAGAGACACCAACCCAACCCCACCCUGAGGAAUGUGCUUCUCCUUGGCACUGGCUAGUCUCCAGGCCUAAAUUCAACCCUCUUUGUAGCAGGCCAAAUGCCAAGCCCAAUCUCAGCCUGCCCAGGAAGGACCUAGGACUGAGGCUGUGAGCUCUCAACUUGUUUUUCUGGGGCAACAUACCAGGGCAGCUAGUCAGUGAUUUUAGGAAAGACGAGGUGAGCCUGUGCCCAGAGGAUUUUUCCUUCCGGUGUUUAGUAGCUGUUUGGCUGUGACUCACUAGGAAAAACUCACAUCAUAUUAUAUCUGACUGACACACAGCCCAAAAGAAAGUUGAAUUAAACACUGAUGAAUAAGA